rnacentral:lncRNA from 1 species
GGAUGAUUAAGGGAAAGGGAUCUUGGAUGGAGAUUCACACAAGUUGGGGCAGGGAAGAAAAGAAGAAAAGGAAGGGGUAAUUGGAAGGAAAUGUCUUUCUCUGCCCAUGACCAAGUUGAUUAGUUUGAGCAGGACCUCUAGAGGAAGAUCCAUGGAGGAUGCGGCGUUCUUCUUCCACCACAGCACCACGGCCUUCCGCAGUCAAUCCUCUAAUCCUAGUUGUGAUGACCUUAUCCGUAACCAGCUAAUCAGUG